AUCCAGCUGACAAGUCCCAUAUAGGACGAAGCGUGUGUCCUAGAU
rnacentral:hammerhead_ribozyme from 1 species